AGUGAACGCUGGCGGUAGGCCUAACACAUGCAAGUCGAACGGCAGCACAGUAAGAGCUUGCUCUUACGGGUGGCGAGUGGCGGACGGGUGAGGAAUACAUCGGAAUCUACUUUUUCGUGGGGGAUAACGUAGGGAAACUUACGCUAAUACCGCAUACGACCUACGGGUGAAAGCAGGGGAUCUUCGGACCUUGCGCGAUUGAAUGAGCCGAUGUUGGAUUAGCCAGUUGGCGGGGUAAAGGCCCACCAAGGCGACGAUCCGUAGCUGGUCUGAGAGGAUAGUCAGCCACACUGGAACUGAGACACGAUCCAGACUCCUACGGGAGGCAGCAGUGGGGAAUAUUGGACAAUGGGCGCAAGCCUGAUCCAGCCAUACCGCGUGGGUGAAGAAGGCCUUCGGGUUGUAAAGCCCUUUUGUUGGGAAAGAAAAGCAGCAGGUUAAUACCCCGCUGUUCUGACGGUACCCAAAGAGUAAGCACCGGCUAACUUCGUG
rnacentral:rRNA from 1 species